rnacentral:lncRNA from 1 species
CCUGGGCUGAUGGUCCUGGCUGCUAUAAGAAAGCAGGUUGAGCAAGGCAUGAAGAGCAAGCCAGUAAGCAGCUGUCCUCCAUGGCCUCUGCAUCAGCUCCUGCCUCCUAUGCUGCCUUGGUCAUGACGUCUCUUCACAGCAAUAGGGCAGUGAUGAAGAAGCCAAACAUACAGACCUGGUUGUAUGCUGGGAAUGGAGCCAGGCAGAUGAAUGCUGGAGCUCCACCUGCCUCUGCCUUCCAAGUGCUGGGAUUAAAGACACAUACCACUUCGCAGCAUCCUCCUUGUUCUUGACGCAGAAUCAGCGUUAUGGCUCAAUGAGUCGGAUGUAUGAUCUUCAAGGUUUUCCACACAGUUCCCUGUUGGACUGGCCAGCGCCUAGCUGAAGACACUCUGGCUGCUUUUACUCCACACAAAACUUCCUUUCGAACCUUGGAAUUGCUAAAGAAGAAACAAGGAUGUCCUAUUGCAAGAAAUAUUAAAUAUGAGUCUUUUUUUUCUUUUAGAUUUCUUUGAUGAGAAUUAGAAACAAGAGAGUUUUACAUGACAAUCCCAGUUCCAUUCUCUCUCUCCUCCUCCCGUACCCCGCCACCCACUAAAUCUUACCAAUCAAAUAUCCUUU